AUACGUGUUUGCUAUUUAACUUCUUCCAAUCUGUGUUAUUCUGUUAAGGAUAGGACGAUGAUAGGAAAAGUAGGAAACGAAUGGGAGUGUUUCAAGUUUAAUGUGCCUCGAAAAAGUCAAAUCGAUGGUUGUUCCAAUCGAGUGGAAGAAAGAUAGAUGCGGCGCAAGCGUACAAUGAGGGUAACGGGACACAGCGUAACGGGACACUAGUGCGUGCAGCCGGCGUUCAUCGAUUUAUUAAACGUUGUCACGUCAAAGCUGACUUCAAAAUUGCAUUUGGGGGUGGGGGGGGGGGGGAAGCACGAGGUGGUAUGGGAUCAGAGCUAGUGUAGCCUCGGCCUCUGCCACGGCCGAACCAGUCUGCAGCAUCGUGACGCGCGCGGACCCGCGACCAGACCAGUUCCGCGCAGGCGCAGACGAGUUGCAGGUGCUUCCAAUCAGCAGUCGCCGGAGGUGCGACCUCGCUUCCACCUCGGCGGGGCGCUGCGGCGCGGUGUCAGCCGCGCGCACGUACAUCGACAAGUCUUAAGGUCGUAAGCUGAGUAGACAUGUAGUUCACAAGAGUCGAAGAAUGCUAGUCGAACGAAUAUCACGACUAAACAAUCAGCGCUGACCAAAACGUUACGAAGAUCAAAACGCACUAGAACCAGGGCCAUCCAGAGGUGACAGAUGAAGGGGAGGGAGGGAGUUUUGAGUUUUUUUUAAUUAGCGAGUUUACCGUGUUAGGACACGAACAUUACCAAUAUAUUGUUAUUAUAAUUCAUUAGAAUCCUUACAAGUUAUGCACAGAUCACGUUUACAAGCUUUAGAUUUUUUUAUUUUCAUUCAUGGAGUUUGAUAAGUUGUACAUUAGUAAUUGGAAGGGUGCCAGACUUGUCCCAAGCCUUUUUUUACCUCUCAAUCAGGGCCGGUGCAAGGUACAUUGGCGCCCUAGGCGAAAAACUUUAUUCCACCACCCCCCCCCCCCCACCCACCCCUACGGACGCCCCAAAAAAAUUUCCCUUGCCUCAAAAUACAUCACGUAAGCCUAAGAUUUUGUCAACAAUCAAAUGUAAGCAGGCUUGUUUUUUUUUUACUUUUUUAAUUAUUACAAAUCAUAAACAUGUAAUUACUUAUAUCAAUAUAAACAUUCCAAACUGUUACAAAAAUCCACUUUCGUCUAGUUUCAAUAAUCGUUAAACAUAUUAUAUGAGCUGUUAUGUGUCGUGCUGCGCCGCCCCCGGCUACUUGGCGCCCUAGGGCCUAGGCGGUUGCCUAGUUCGCCUAUAUGGACGCGCCGGCCCUGCUCUCGAUGGCCCUGUUAGAAGUUUUGUUUUGAUGUAUACAUAAUAGCUACGUAUGUUUACAAAUACAUCUGUAAAAAUAGCUUUCUUAUUUCAGUUGAAUUCUUUGCUGGUCUGUGACUGAUCCUGACAAAGUAAGUACUGAUUUGUAUAACGUAUUGUGAAUAUCGCCGAGGCUGUCACGAAUGUUACGACCCACAACUGACUGAUAGAGAAAAAAUAUACUCUCCGCCUGAAAAUGUUUUCCAAGUUAUCCCUGAAUUAUAAAAAAGUUUUAUUACAAAAUUAGUUUAUUUUAACAAAAUAAUUUAUGCAUGUAUUUACUUCUGUCUUACACUACAGUAAUUUAUUACAUCUUGGAAGACACAAGAAAUUACCAAUUAGGGCAGGAGAUUCUUUGUGAGGACUUCUUUGGUACGUUAUAGAUCAUUAUUAAUGCUUCCAGCUGCGGCUAAACGAAUUUCGUUAUUGUUAGCUCAGUCUCCGAAUAGUCAACUGCUCCACAGCACUGUUUUGAAACUGCAAGAAUGCAAAAAAAUAUUCAACGUCCAAUACAUUUCCAAAGAGUCAACUUAUUGACAAGAAAACGUAAAAUUAGCUUUUAUUUAACCGAGAAUCUAUAUAUUAACAUAUUCUUGCUGGCAAAGGGGCGACUCUAUAAAAGGCGGCUGCAUGCGUCGGUUUGAUUUAGUAUGCAUAAAGGCGAUUUUAUAUUUGAAGCACGUAGGGACUUACUUUGAAUUCUCAAUUUUAGAGGCAGGAUCUAUGCAGCAGGCUGCUCGUAGUUCAGCGCUGACCGAACUUCCGUGUGAGCUUACACAUUACGUGGUGCCAAUUGCAAACCUCCUGAGCCACUACUGCUUUAACUACGCGAGUGGCGUGGCAAGACCCGCUAAUAGCGCAAACCAAGCGCAGAGCAAAGUCCCUAGUCGCUCGAGAGCAAAGUGAAGCACAACACUGGUAGCAAUCGACGAGCGAGGUAGCGAAAAGGUAAGACGCUUAACUCUCAAGCCAGUCUAUAAUUGCAGUCAAAUUGAGUCCGACGGACACAUCGCUAACUGGGCCGCGUGGAAUCUCCCUUGUCCGAAUAUAUUGGUCAAAUUGAAUUUUUAUUUUGGUCACAAUCUUAUGUCCUUUGGUAGCAUAGAACUUGAAAAACACAAUUUUCUUUUUCCCCGUUUCCGUUUCAAAGGUUUAAAUAAAUAAAUAAAUAAAUAAAAAAAGUGGUAGUUAACAGAAAGCGAAGAGGACAAAGUGGAAAUAUUAAUUGGUUCUGUCCGUUUGCGACCAGCGCUAGGCCGAACAAACUAAUUAAUUCUGGCAGUGUAAUUAGAACUCAUUUAUUAGCGAUUACUUUAUGAUUUACCGAAUAUCUAAAUAUUAAUUCCUGUAACUGCCACAAGUUAAAUAUUCAAAACUUAGCUGUUUACUCAUUUACGACGCAUUAAAAACAAUCAACAAAAACAAUCUAAAAUAUUUGGCGGUCUAUAUUUACUGCGCAAAAACACACUAGCCGCAUUAGUAACCAUAUCCUUGUAUCUUACACACGGUAUAUUUAUUCGCACGUGGAUAGAUUCAGGUUUUAAGGUGAACAGCUAUUUCAAACUUCGAGCGCACUCGAUAUAAAAUUGAAACCGUCUUAUGCAGCACACACGAAACUCGGCACAAGGUUAGAAAGACUUUUAACUUUCAUUUUUAACAAAGUACUCUGCACAACCUACAUCGAUUUUAAAAAAAAGUUCAAAUAACACUUAUAAAUUUUUGAACUAAUGAAAGCUUAACGCAAUAAGUACUCACCUUUGACCCUAUCUGGUUUCCACACUGCCCAGCCUGCACGUGCACAAUCUCCCUCAUGUUUCAGUUCUACUAACGUUCUGCACUCUUUCAAGCUAGUCUUACCCCGAAGCCAGAUGUUAUCCAACCGACUUCUGCAAGUCAAAUGGCAAGUGAGCGAACGCGCGGACGCGCGAACAAGUGUCCAGUGCAUAGACUAUAAUGGAUGUAGACCACGCGCGCAAGCGGUGCAGUAUAUUUUUUUUGAGUCCAUCAUUGAGCAGUAUAUUUUUCACUUGAAAUGUCAAGAGCGUGUGUUGAGGAGGACGCAUCUCUUAGGUUGCGUUGAGGUUUUAAAAUCAAUUACAAUUUCCAUGCAGUCAGUAUCUGAUAUUUCAUUGAUAGCUAUUUUUAUUAUGUUCUGCGUUACAUUAAAAAUAAUUUAAAAGUAUCGUUGAAACAUUAUUAAUAAACAAAGUCAAUAUAAUAGACGUGCUGCUGCUAAACAUGCUCUACAUAAGAUCGAAUCCCCGUAGAGCUGCGGAACUGUUUAAAUGUGUUCCGAUAAAAAGAUAUUUAAAGGUGUUUUAUAGUCAGUUGCAUUACUCGUGUACACAGGUCAGGUAGGUAUAUAUGGACGACUAUAAAAUAGAAUUGAAAGAAUUAUGUAAUGUAUAUUUAUAUACUAUUAAAUAUAUGACUGUACAAAUAUCUACAACCUUUUUGCAGACAACAAAGAACAUAGGUAUGAAACUUAAAAAUAGUAUUUAUCUCUCUGGCAAUAUGAUUCUGUUCAGAUUUAUUCAAUAUCAUAAAUAAUGCAUAAACAGAACCAAGCCAAGGUUUUUUAUACUACUUUGCCGUCGUCCGGGGUCUCGGGCUCGAGUCCCGGUGUGGCUCCUAGUGGGAAAAGGCGGUUCUUGAUACGUAUUGUCCGGGUGGGCGCCAGACUAGCUCGGUUCUAGUCGUGAGUUUGGGGUCGUGGAUGUAUGUGCCCCUGCGUGGCCCACUAGGGCCGGCGGCGGUGUUGCGUGAGAUGAUGUUUAAAUAAGAGACGUGGAGUUGAGGUGGUGGUGUCGUACCUUUUAUUCAUAGGAGCGAGUCGUACACAAUACAACACUCUACAGAGGUCCCCGGGGGGGGGUUUUACUCGUUAUUCCGUGGCGCCGUAUUGUUUGUGUUCCGCGUUACGCGGGCCUCGGACGCUGUUACGUCUCAUACGUCUCACUGGUUACGCGGGUAACGUAAUUUCGUAACACAAAGGCGGGACACAAAAGUACACUGAAUUAAGGGGGUGCGCACAAGUUACGUGGCACUCGUUACUCGGGUAACGUAAGUUAGUAAUACAAAAUACGGGACACAAAAAUACACUGAAUUAAGGGGGCGCGCACAAGUUACGUGGCACUCGUUACUCGGGUAACGUAAGUUAGUAAUACAAAAUACGGGACACAAAAAUACACUGAAUUAAGGGGGCGUGCACAAGUUACGUGGCACUCGUUACUCGGGUAACGUAAGUUAGUAAUACAAAAUACGGGACACAAAAAUACACUGAGUUAAGGGGUGGGCGGUUGGAGACGGCCAAUCCCGUAUACGAAUGUCUCUGCGCGGGUGUUGUGCCCACUGUGGUGAAACACGCACCGCAAUUAAGUUUGUCCAAGCUCCCUUGCGGGUUUGUGGUCAGCACCGUGCUCGUGACCUUAAGUAAAGUUCUGUGAGUUGCGGGAGGCGGCCCGUGCCGUAUACUGAAGAUCAACCCCGCUGGCCAAGUGUGGUGCGGGGUGUCUUUAAACUGAUGCAGUCGAAUUAGGUCCUGGACCGAAAAAGGGGGACCGGGUACUCACGGAGAGGUUAAGUAAAAAAAGGGGUUCUGUUAAUUAGUGACUAUAUUUACCGGACGUUACUUUCGAUGAAGACAAAGGUUGUUGCCCCUCCGUGGGACGUAGGUCCGCCCCGGUCCGUGAGCUGUGCUGAACUGCCGAACUGGCAUGGCGUCCGAGGGAGGCUCGGCCUCUCUUGCGCCAGGUUUGACCUCAUUACGCUAGACUCUAAAUGGGUGUGUCUGGAAGAGACUUUAUUGUCGCUAAAAUCCUAAUUUAAUGUUCCAGGAGGAAUGGGUACGGUUCUUCUCUUGUCUACUCAGGUUUUCGCGGGUUUGCCUUUAAUCGCUGUUCGGCUCGCCUGACUCGGGUGGGCCAUGGCCAGGGGUGUGUUCCGUUAGCGGGAGCGUAUACUGGCGGGUGCAGGUCGGGCUCUGGGGUGGUCGUCGGCCGGACGACGUCAACUUUUAACUUAUUAAUGUAGGUACCGGAUGUACAGUGGGCCCAUGCAGUUACCUACAGUCUGUAACAAUAUCCUGGAUUCCAACAUAACAUUAUUAUAAAACAAAAAUUAAUUUUAUUCUCUGUUUAUUUAAAUAUUUCUCUCAGACUAAAAGAGGUCUUUGGAAAAUCAAGAAAUGUUCAUUUCAAAAACACUGAGUUUAAGAGUCCUUUAAGCUCUAUAUUUAAUUUUAACCUCUAAUACUUCACUUUGAAAAAAUAUUUAUUGGUUUGAAUUGGCAUUAAGUCCCAUUUAUUAUGUAGUUUAUUUCAAUUAGUUUAGUUAAACAGUUUUUAAUAGCAUCUUUGCCAUCUAUUAAUGGUUCUAUUUUAUGCUGGUUGUGUACAGGAGAAAUGGAGACACAAGCCGGUAUUCCAAAACAUUAAAAUACGGGUUUACGUGUUAAAAAAUACGCUACACUUGUACCCUAACCAUAUUCCUACUGCAUAAGACACAGAAAGACCUUAUUUUGUAAGGAACGGAUUUUAGUGUUCUAUUCAUUGCCGACUGGUUGCCCGAAUUCCGUAUUUGCACAGAGCUCAUUUUUCGUUGAUUUCAUCCAGAUGGUGGACACAUUUAUGACACCAUUAACCAUUAGUCAUUUUUGUGUUCAUCGGGAUACGUACCAAGUGUUUUGGUGUGCCAAAUGAAACUUUAUGGUAGAGACACUAUCCUGGAAUACAUUUUUUACACUUUAAUAGUUAUAACAAAAAAUAAUCGCAACUUAAAAAAUACCCGAGAAAACUAGGAAAACACAAUUUAAUUCGUGCGAUGGUGUGUGACUAUAUCUAGGAUUUUUUUUCCAUAAAAUUGCAUCGAUAGUUGCCAAAUGGUUUGCUAAAAAAAUCAUUGGAACCAAUUUCAAGCUGCAUGAGGGGCACAGUUUAUUAAAAUGGCUACCAUUCUGUUACCUUACUGGGAUUUGGUUUAGACACAUUUUGGAAUACGGCCCACGAGUUAGGUUAUGGUUGUUUUCCCUCAAGGCAGUGAUUAUUUAAUACCUUACCCGAACGUCAUGGAAUACCUAUGUUACUGCUAAAAUUUGCUUUUACUUAUUUCACUCCCAAUUACAACACUGUUGCCCCAACCCACUAAGUAAUAGUACAAUUCAAUUUAAAUCAUGCAUCAGUAGAAAGCUGGAUGCUUCCGAAACCAGCUAGCUUCAACUGAUUUACAUUAAAACAUCACUAUUGCAUCUUCCUGCUCUGGAUAUUAAACAUAGAAGGUUUUCAUUUAAGUAUACACAGAGUUUUUUUUUAAUGACAUUUAAAUGAUAUUAAGUAAUUAAAGUCAGCAUUCUAAAUUAUUUUGCUUUCAAUAUUCAUAUUAGCAUUUGCCAUUACCUCGGCUGCCUUUGCUGCUUUGUCCUACUACAAUAUUUGAUUUGUUUCAAGCUUCAUAGCUACCUUGCUACUCUAUGACUUCGUCUUUUGCAUUUGGUUUGCAGACAGGAAGGUGCUAGAUUUUCUGUUUUGUGUGGCAAACAGUUAAGAAUUAAAAUGUUUCCUUUGAAUUCUGUAGUACGAGCAGCUCCUGCUGUGUCCAGAAAUAUGCUGCAGACAAGGAAUGUUUUGCGAACCACAAACGUUGUCUCUUCUGGUCCUCGAGUACAUAUUUCGUUUGCUGAAAAACUAGCCCAUGGUUUCGUGAUUGCUGCAGCCAUCAUGACAAUCCCAACAUGGGUUUUGGUUCACAUCAAGGAUUAUAAAUCUGAAUAGUAACUAUGCUUUGUGCAGUUACGUAAAUGAUUUGUGCUAGUUACUUGAAUUUAAUAUUAGUUAAAUACUACCUUUUAUUUUGUUGUACAGAUGUGUCAAGAAUCUCUUAAAUCUUGUGUUAAAAAUUAAAGCAUGUAUUGUUGAAA